rnacentral:lncRNA from 1 species
UUUUUUUUUUUUUUUUUUUUAAUGAGAUCAAUGCAUUUCCAGCAAGCAAUUUCCACCCCUACAUAUUUUCAUAAAGAGAUACUACUCUUUUACAGUGCUAGGUACCUACUCUGAGUUUUUAACCAAUAAAUACUUAGGGAUUUCAGGUGGGUGAAAAUAACCCAAACUUUUUGCCCAAGGCAUGGAAAGUACAGGCUGAAAGAGGGAGAAAGGAACCAAGGGUCGGUAAAUGUGUGUAGAAAAGCACUUUCUUUUCUGGUGAAUAGUUUGCCCAGGAAAAAAAUAUGCAUUUGAAAAUUUCUGCAAGAUCUAUCUCUUAAGAUCAGACAAUUAUUCAUCUCAUUCUUUAAAAACAAAUAAAAAAUAAAACCGUAAUCUCGAUGUUAAAAAUCCUCAUUUCAAAGUCCAUCCUACACACUCAUUGGAUAAACAAGCUCUAGGUUUGCGUGGGUUCCCGGGUAUUUAAAGCUUUUACAUUUAGCAUCACCCCUUUCAGAGGCACUGAGUCUGCCUGCCUUCUCCGCCCACAGACAGUCAGUCACGAUCGGCUCAAUUCCACCCUCGGCCCCCUCACGAUUCUACCACACAGGUCUCACAAGUUGAAAAUUAUUUUCUUAUGUUUGGUCUUCACAGCUACAUAGAACUACUUCAGGGCAUAGAGCAUAUUUUAUUCAUUUUUAUAUUUCCAAUUUCCCUAAAUAAUUUAUUCAUUCAUUAAAAGAAGCCUACUGAGCCUACUACGCGCCAGAGGCUUUAAUCAUUCAGCAGAAUGUACUGAACGGGCACAGUUCUAAUAAGCAACAGGAACGCAUCUGUGAACAAAGGAGAAGGCGAGUCCUGGCCUCAAGGAUCUUACUUCUGCUGGGGAAACAAGAGCCAACAGAUAUAAUACAGUUUCUCCAAAGGCAGUGAGUGCUAAGGAAAAAGGAAAAGCAGAGCAAUACAAGGAGGCUUCAGAGUAUGCUGCUGCAUUAAAAAGGUGGUCAAGAAAGGCCUCACUGAGAAACGACUCUUGAGCAAAGCCUUUGAGGAGGUGAGGGCAUUAGCCAAGAGCAUCAAGGGGAGCCUCUGGAGAAGGGCAUUACAGGCAGAGGGAACCACCAGGGCAAAGGCUGCUGUGGGUCACGGUUCAGAAGCCUUUCAGGAUCAGCAAAAAGGCCACAUGGGCUGGAAUGGGGAGGGGGGAAGAGGGGAGCAGAUGACUAAUAGUAAGGUCAGGGGUUAGAGAGGCCGCAUAAGCCACUGUAGGGGUGUUCUUACAACUGCCUAGCUCCCAAAGUAGACAAGAAGCAUACAUCCCAAAACAUGCACAAUCACAUAUAUAUCCAGCCACUACUAAAACUUUAAAACAGGACUUGCGGUGCUUCCCCUGCAUCCCAAUGGAUCAUUCUGCACAUCAUAUUCCUUGGAGAAGCAGCAGCCCACUCUGAAGACCACUACCCUAUGCUGUCAUAGCUCAGGCAGUAAACAACGUAUUCUCACAAUGACUAGGAGCAGCCAGAGGUCUGCUGAAUUCCUAAGCCCCUCAACACGGCCUGGGAUCCACCCUGAAAGCCUUACAGAAGAUCCCAGGUUGCAGGAGGGUUGAACUGGAAAUGUUUUGGGAUUUGUUUUGGUUUCUUCCCCUAGUCCAAGAGUUUCUUAAAACAACAAAUUCCACAAUUCAGUUCAGAAAUCAUCAACUCUCUCACUCGGAGUAUUUCAUACUUCCUACACCUUCAGAGACCUGGUACUGCCAAGGAUGGAAAUGGCCAGCAUUUCUAUACAGUUGCCCUUUAUUGGGUAUACAAUAGUUUUUCUUACAAUUGAGCUAUUUAAAACAAAACAAAAUCAAAAACCUCCUAUGAAUGUAUGUAGGGACUACUCUACUAAAUAAGAAAGUUUAGCAAAAGGAAACUUGCUAAAAUUUACUCUCCUUUUCCCCUCCUUAAAAAGGUGGGCCACAGAACUAAACCACCUGGCUUGGCACUCAGCCUCUUCAGAAGCUCUCCCAUGUACACCGCAAGAUGAAAUAAAACCUUGGGGAAAGGGGUCGUCCGAGCUAACUGUUGCUUUGAUUAAGAAGCCACGGUGCUCAGCACAGUCUCAGGACGAGCAGAGUCCUCUUCGCCAUUGUCCAUGUCUUCGAGGUCACUAUUUAAACACUAACUCAACUUACCUCAAUGACUUCUAAAAAGAAUCAAGCCAGAUUAUUAUGCUAUUACACAGAGGAGAAUCAUACUUCACCCCAUCCUCUCAAGGAGAUAAUCAUAAAAUUGCUCAAGUACUGGCAUGUGUUUUACCUCGUGUGGUUCAACCAUCAAAAUUAUGUCAUUAUUCCAGCAGAGCAAAAGUCAAUUGUGUGAACUAGCUAAUCCUCAUACCACCUCUUAUAAUUUUCAUCUCGUCUCUCAAUUCUUUUUUUCCUUUCCUUUUUUUUUUUUUUUUUUUGGCUAUAUUUUUAAGUUUAAGCUGGAGAAGAAAAGUCAUCCCUACCUGUAGAGAGGACCAUUUGGCUCUUAUUUCAGAUUUUUUAGGAAACUGCAAUGCCAAGAAAGGGUAAACAUUAGAGACAAUCUACUUUCCAGCUCUGAAUGACCACCCUAAGAUGCACCAAUCAUCCGACAGGGACACAAUGCACCAAAACAGAAAUGACAAAAGCUGAAGAACUUGAAAGCAGUUCUUUCCCUUAAAUGAAGCUUUUACAUCAAACAAAUCUAGGGAGCUCCCGUCGUGGCUCGUGGCUCGUGGCUCAGCAGUUAAUGAACCAACUAAGAUCCAUGAGGAUCCGAGAGUUCAGUCCCUGGCCUCACUCAGUGAGUUAAGGCUCUGACGUUGCUGUGAGCUAUGGUGUAGGUUGCAGAAGAGGCUCAGAUCCCGAGUUGCUGUGGCUGUGGUGUAGGCUGACAGCUGCAGCUCCGAUUUGACCCCCAGCCUGGGAAUUUCUGUAUGCCGCAAGGGGGGCCCUAAAAAGACAAAAAAAAAAAAAAAAAAAAAAAAAAAAGAAAAACAAAACAAAACCACACAACCUAAUCUAAACAAUUCCUGUGUAUUCUAGUCUUUUGACAAUGUGUCAAUCAAAGCUUUUAUUCCAUAGCCCUUAGCAAUUUUCCACAUUUAAUAUGACAAAGAAAACCAGUGCUAAUCUUCUACACGACUAAACCCAAACUUUGAAAUUACCAGUAAAAGUGACAUCAUUUAUAUCAUCUCUCUUAUUGAGAAGUAGAUUCUGUUUUUGAUAGUAAAAAGCAGCCCUGAAAGUCUGCAUGAAUUGAAGCUGUCAAUAAGUAGCCAGCUCCCUGUGCCCCUUCCCUGGUGUCUGGCUCAGGGAGGGUCGGCAAAAUAGGGGCCAAGGGUCAAAGGGUCCACUGCCUGCUUUAGCAUGGUCCGCAGUGAAAGAAUGGGUUCUCU